rnacentral:misc_RNA from 1 species
GUUCAGAACGUGAGAACAGCUUGAAUACAGGUAGUAGGAGAGGUCGUAGACCGGGGUUCGAAUGACAGAAGCUUGCCAGUCGAGAAUGCACACAGCAGACGGGCUUGAUUUGCCGUCCUUAUAUUUAAACAUAAAAUUAUUGUUCCAACAGUCGCCAUGUGCGAAGCAGCUCUGUGGCUCGACCACCUCGCAAAUGUCCAUGAACUUUUUGGCACCCGUCGUCUGAUAUUUGACGAAUUUGUUGUACAGAUCGUCCUCACCGAAUUCCUU